AAGAUCUGGAAAAUGUAUUUCCUCCUGUUCAAGUCAAUACAGUAAAAUAAUAUAAUAUAAUAUACAGUAUAUAAUAUACAGUAAUAUAAAACACAGCAAGCAUAUACCUCAACAGGAGUCCACAGAUUUUCUUCGGAUAAGGGAGCUUUUGGCCUCAUCCCAUAUACCAUAAUGUUGUGCCAGAAGUAAUCCAUUACAAGGUACCUUCACCUACUCUUUGCAGAAAAAGGACCGUUAUAAUGGGAGAUGACCCUAUUCUAACGUCGUCUACUUCAAUCAUAAAAAUAUAGCCACGAGAGCAUGUCAGAUGCCCUUUAAUAAGAUGUCAGUAUUAUGUGUAUCGUAAUAGUAUGUCAAUAAUUAUAUUUCCUAUGAUAAAAUCUGACCCUAUAUUAUAAAUAUAAUUUGAUGGCUCAAGCCUUAAUUCUACCUUUCUUAGUCACCUAUUCCAGGUAAAAAGAACUAAAUAUUAAGUGAAAGCACACCUGAACACGGUGAUGAAAAUGAAAAGCUUUGGAGAAAAAUCAUCAGUCUCUUUGAAAUGUCUAAAUAUUUCCAAGGUUGAGCCAUGGCGAGCAAAUAUUCUAGCAUGUUCAAAGCAGAAAUAAUUCCCUAAAUCUCCUAGGACCUGCCUCCUUUGGCCCAUGCUUAUCUUGUGCCCUGCAUCAUGGUGAAAUAGCUAUAAAUUAUCCUCGUAGCCGCCACAGUGAUUGACACAGACGUAUCGACCAUAAAACAUAGAGGUGUUUAGUGUGGAGUCCAUCAAUAUGGGGGGAUUGACAUAAAGUAGUCACGAAGCAAGUCCUUCAUUGAGAAGUUGAGACAGCACCCUUAUCAGUGGGAAGAAAUACUGAGCCUCUAGCCUAGGAUUUCUUAUGUUCGGUCGUAGUUCUAGUGAUUAACAGUCAUGAGUUGUCUUAGUUACACUGAGACUAGGUUACAGAAGUAAAGAAUGAAGUAGAACGUCAUUUGCUACACACAUAUAUAAGGAUGAGAAACUUAAGUCGUUUCUCAGCUUAUGUUCUGUGCAGUCAGGGGUUGAGUUCGACCGUCUCCGAGACCCCUUCCAGCAAUGUCUGUGUCGUUCUUUGGCAGGAAGACCACCACUAGGUGGUCUCUGGCAUCAUGGAAGAUGUCAUGGACAUCAUUUGCCAUCAUAGACGACGACCACUAGGGGGCGGAGUAGUGAGCAGGAUUAGCAGGCAGCCAACCCGCCUUCCAUGGGUGGAGAACAGAAGACUGGGGGGCAAGGUCGCACCUUCCUUCAGAGAGGUGUGGUGCCAGGCCAGCAGCUGAAGAUGCUGGUGCUUCUGCUGCUUCUGGGACCCAGCUACGGGUUUGGCGCCCUCGUCUCUCAACAUCCCAGCAGGGCCAUCUGUAAGAGCGGUGCCUCUGUGACCAUCCAGUGCCGUACAGUGGACUUUCAAACCACAACUAUGUUCUGGUAUCAUCAGUUCCCAGAACAGGGCCCCCUGCUGAUAGCAACUUCUAACAUGGGCUCUAAUGCCACCUACGAAAAAGGUUUUAACAGCACCAAGUUUCUCAUCAGCCACCCAGACCUAACGUUUUCAUCUCUGGUGGUGAGACGCGUGCAUCCUGCCGACAGCAGCCUCUACCUUUGUGGUGCUAGUGACACAGCGCUGAGCAGAGAUCAGAGACCCAAACAAGAACCUUUGCAGCAGCUGCCCUCCGCCACCCCACCCACCCCAGGGAGAGCUCCCUGGAGGGUGUGGAGGGAGGAAAAACCACAGCCUUUCUGA